UAGGGCGCAAGCGUUAUCCGGAAUUAUUGGGCGUAAAGAGCUCGUAGGCGGUUUGUCGCGUCUGCCUUGAAAGUCCGGGGCUCAACUCCGGAUCUGCGGUGGGUACGGGCAGACUAGAGUGAUGUAGGGGAGACUGGAAUUCCUGGUGUAGCGGUGAAAUGCGCAGAUAUCAGGAGGAACACCGAUGGCGAAGGCAGGUCUCUGGGCAUUAACUGACGCUGAGGAGCGAAAGCAUGGGGAGCGAACAGG
rnacentral:rRNA from 1 species